rnacentral:tRNA from 1 species
GGUCCGGUAGCUUAGUGGCAAAGCGGCGUGGCUCAUAACCGUGAGGACUGGGGUUCGACUCCCUUCCGGACCACCA